rnacentral:rRNA from 1 species
GAUGAACGCUAGCGGCAGGCUUAAUACAUGCAAGUCGAGGGGCAGCAGGGGUGUAGCAAUACACUUGCUGGCGACCGGCAAACGGGUGCGGAACACGUACGCAAUCUACCCAAAACUGGUGAAUAGCCCUCCGAAAGGAGGAUUAAUACAUCGUAACUUAGUGAAGUGGCAUCACUUUAUUAAUAUAGCUCCGGCGGUUUUGGAUGAGCGUGCGCCUGAUUAGGAGUUGGCGGGGUAACGGCCCACCAAGCCUGCGAUCAGUAACUGGUGUGAGAGCACGACCAGUCACACGGGCACUGAGACACGGGCCCGACUCCUACGGGAGGCAGCAGUAAGGAAUAUUGGUCAAUGGACGCAAGUCUGAACCAGCCAUGCCGCGUGAAGGAUGAAGGUCCUCUGGAUUGUAAACUUCUUUUAUGGGGACGAAACCUCUUUUUCUAAAGAGACUGACGGUACCCUAGGAAUAGCACCGGCUAACUCCGUGCCAGCCGCCGCGGUAAU